GUCAAUUGAAUGUGCAAAUAAUCUCACU
rnacentral:piRNA from 1 species